AUAGCGAGUUGCGCAGCUUGCGCCGUGACCUUUGUUGCCAUGGUAAUCAUGGCUGUACCUUGAACCUAAAUUCCAUGUUUCCGGUUGACCAUUGCUAAUUAAGGCCGUGUCGCUUAAGGCGCUACCACAGCACACCUGAUCUACGCAUGUCGCCGUGCGCAUCUUUGUUUUAACCUCAAGAGGAUUUAGAUUCCAAGCCUAUUUUAAUUUUUGGAUCUCGUUUAUUAUCUUACAGAGGAGCAAUGUGCUGAAAUAUAAGACUUGUGUGCCUACAACUUGGUGUAAAGGGGAUCGCUAAUGCAAUCAUAAACUUGGUGGCUGAGAUAAAGCGGCUGAGGAGAACAGAGGCUUGUGAGUGGAAUAGGUUGGUGGAACUUGUGUACAGCCCUUUCUAUGUUCAACAAAUGUCUCAGGUGGAAGUACAUUUAGUACAGUUUCCAUGAAGAUCCAGCUUUAUUCAAG